rnacentral:lncRNA from 1 species
GAAUUUAUGGUCAAUUGAACAGUUAGAUUAAAGUAUUUGAAAGUUUUUGUGGGUUGAGGUCUCAGAAAUUGGAGUUCGAGGGUCAAUGUGUAUUUUUAAGAUCUUUAGUAAUUUGUUAAUUAGAUUGAAGUGAUUUUUAUUUACUUAUUUAUUUGUUUAUUUAUAGAAACUGGACUUGAUUUCCAACAAUUUAAGUGAAUUUUGGGAGAAAAUCAACAAUUCAAAUAGAAGAUAUUUGUGCUAGAAGUUCAAUAUUUGGUUGAAAUAGGUGGCCAACCAACACCUAAGAGAAUUUUAGGAUUUUUCUUCCAUUUAGUAAGUGCAAUUAUCUUCAAAUUUGUUGUAUUUAUUUUUAAGUAAGAAGUUGAGAACUAUAUAAAUUUUUAAGUAAGAUCAAUAGUUUAAUCAAUAGAUAUUGAGAUUCUAAUCUACUUUAGGAUUGAGUUGAGUUUGUUUAAGGCAUAGGUUUUGUCUAGGGUUUGGUUUAGGAUUUGGAAUUUGUCUAGGAUUUGGUUUAAGAUUUAGGAUUUGUCUAAGGUUUGAUUUAGGAUUUAGAAUUUGUUUAGGUCUUAGGAUUUGUCUAGGAUUUGUUUAGGGCUUAGGAUUUAAGAUUUGUCAAGGGUUUGGUUUAGGAUUUGGGAUUUUUUUAGGGCUUAGGAUUUGUCUAGGAUUUGAUAUAGGAUUUAAGACUUGUCUAGGAUUUGAUUUAUGAUUUAGAAUUUGUCUAGGAUUUGAUUUAGGAUUUAGUAUUUAUUUAGGACUUGGAGUUUAAGAUUUAGCUAGGGUUUGAUCUAGGGUUUAAUUAAGAUCCAUUAGAAUUUUAAUUAGAAUUAAAAUAAGAUUUAAUUAAGAUUUAUUUAAAAUUUCUCUAAUAUUUCUCUAAUAUUUUUUAAAGAUUUCUUCAUGUUUCUUUUGUAAUUUCUUU